rnacentral:piRNA from 1 species
UCAUAACCUGGCCGUCAUUCAGACCUC